GGACCGUUGGACAAUUUUUUGGUUUGAAUUUUGGCGGCUUUUCAUUUCAUUUUGGCACCUUUUCGUGUGGCAAUGUUUCAUGUCUAUAAAUAAGUGAUUAAUGGAUAUUGAAAAAUAAUUACAAGUAUGUGAAAAACAUAUAAACAAAUCCACAUGAAAGAAUUAAACUUUCUUCCCUCCAUAUUCAUGUUCUUCAAGUGUUCUUCAAGAUUCGGGUGGAAAAAUCAUUUGUGCUUUUGUGAUUUUCUACAACAAGGCUUGAUCAAUUCUACGAACUAUUUGCCAUAAAACCUUUUAAGCACCAAAUUUGUAUACGAGAAGGGGCAAAUAUCGUUUGAGGACAACGAAUCAUUUUCGUGUUUGAGCCUUCCAUAUUGGUUUGUUUUCCUUGUUAAUUUCCAUCUUCUUGAAUUUCUAUUUCUUAAUUUUCAUCUCCAUUUUCCCCGAUGGCAUAAAUUUCCAACAA
rnacentral:lncRNA from 1 species